rnacentral:rRNA from 1 species
GAUGAACGCUAGCGGCAGGCUUAACACAUGCAAGUCGAGGGGUAUAGUAGCAAUACUAGAGACCGGCGCACGGGUGCGUAACGCGUAUGCAACCUACCUUUUACAGAGGGAUAGCCCAGAGAAAUUUGGAUUAAUACCUCAUAGUGUUAUUAGAUGGCAUCAUUUGAUAACUAAAGUUCCAACGGUAAAAGAUGGGCAUGCGUCCUAUUAGCUAGAUGGUAAGGUAACGGCUUACCAUGGCUACGAUAGGUAGGGUCCUGAGAGGGAGAUCCCCCACACUGGUACUGAGACACGGACCAGACUCCUACGGGAGGCAGCAGUGAGGAAUAUUGGACAAAUGGGCGCAAGCCUGAUCCAGCCAUGCCGCGUGCAGGAUGAAGCCUCGGUUGUAAACGUAGCUUUGUACGGAACGAAAC